CUUGUUUUGGUAUUGUUCAGUUUGCUAUGGAAACCUUUUAGUUUUUUUUUUCUUCUAAAAACUCUAAUCCCUGUCAGUCGGCUCCGUAGGAUAGGCAAUGCGAUCUGUCCCUAGCUCCAUUCUCUAUUUUUGUGCUUCCUUGUGCUGCCAAGCCCCUGACGUAAUGCUUCGUGUUAAUUAUUAGCAUGUGGGAAGCUAUGCUGAGACUCUCUGGUUGAACAAGAGCAACUGUAGGGAGAAAAGUUAGUCAAGAUGGCAAAACACACUGACCCAGAGUGAAGGGGCACCGCUCCCCCAAAUUUUGAAAUUGUUGCGCCCGUCCAGCGACCAGCACCACCGAUGCAACUGUGCCUUGAAGUCUUGGGUGCUUCUCAGUGGAGAGUGCCAUCAGGAGUGGAGCUGAAGUGAGAAGCUGUGGAGUAGUGCGGCUCACUGUCCCGCCAACCGCGGCCCCCAGUGCCUAAAGGAGGUUCAGAGGGGCUCCCCUGGAGGCCCCUAUACCUUCCCAUCCUCCUCAUGUUCAGCUCCACGUCAAGCAAGGCAUCACUACGCAGGGAUGACACAACAGCCAAGCUCUGAAUAACAAAGCGCUAACCCUCAUGCACCAAGCACUGCGGGCCCAGGAAGGAAGAGGCCGACAGAAGAAAGGUCUGGAACCGGGACACGUUCUCCCGCUGCCGACGGAACCGCAGGCCUGAGGCCGCCCGCAGAGAGCAGUGUUAUAAUCAUCUAAGGAGCCCAGAGCCAGGGGGAUCCGUUGCUGACCUGUUCUGAACCCAAGCCCAAGAGCCCCGGUCCUAGUGUCCGCCCCGUUUCGUCUCGUCUGGCGUCCGUCCCACGGACCAUGAUGUUUCGCGACCAGGUGGGAGUCCUGGCCGGCUGGUUCAAGGGGUGGAACGAGUGCGAGCAGACCGUGGCUCUGCUCUCCCUUCUCAAGCGGGUCAGCAGAACCCAAGCCCGCUUCCUGCAGCUCUGUCUAGAACACUCGCUGGCGGAAUGCACUGAGCUGCACGUUCUAGAAGGAGAAGCCAACAAUCCAGUGGUCAUCAGCCAGUGGCAGGGCGAGACCAAAGAGCGGGUCAUCUCGCUGGUGCUGAGCCACCUGCCGCUGCUGAAGCCGGGCAACGCGGAGGCCAAGGGAGAGUACAUGCGUCUGCUGCCCAAGAUCCUGGCGCACACCAUCGAGCACGGCCGGCACCUGGAGGAGAGCCGGCAGCUGCUGUCCUACGCCCUCAUCCACCCGGCCACCUCCCUGGAGGACCGCUCGGCCCUGGCGCUCUGGCUCAACCACCUGGAGGAGCGCGCCGCGUCCAGGGGAGACUCGCUGGAGCGAGGGAGCGGAGGAGGAGGAGGCGUGACGUCGGUGGCCGGACAGCAGGGUGGACAUCACGGUGGCGGCGGGGGGGUGGCGCCCGGGGCACACCUGUACGCACCGCACCACCAGCGCUACGGCUCGGACGACCGGCUCAACGGCUGGCAGGGCUCGCGGGACUCGGGGCUGGGCAGUUGGCAGCCGCCGCAGGGAUGCGAGAACGGACACCUCAGCCUGUACCCAUCCGCCUCCGUGCCUGCCACCAUCAACACCGUGGGCACCGGACAGGGCACCAACGCCAUCCUGUCUGGCGGGCAGCACAGUCCCCUGAAGCGCUCCGUGUCUCUGACCCCUCCCAUGAGCGGGCCGUCCUGCGCGUCUCUGGGCCACGGCUGGCUGUCGCAGGAGGACCUGCGCGCUCGCGGAGGCGGCGGUGGCGGUGGUGUUGUCAUGGCGCCGGACCACGCGCCCCUCUCCCCCCAGAGCAGCGUGGCGUCCUCAGGCAGUGGCGGCAGCGAGCACCUGGACGAAGGCUCCGGACUGGUCGGAGUGGCGCUACGCAGCACCUUUCACGAGGAGGGGAGCGGUAUGCGGGAUGUGCCAGCGUGGCUAAAGAGUUUGCGUCUCCAUAAGUACGCCUCCCUCUUCUCCACCAUGACGUACGACGAGAUGAUGUCACUGACCGAGGAGCAGCUGGAGUCACAGAAUGUCACCAAAGGGGCCAGGCAUAAGAUCAUCAUCAGCAUACAGAAGCUGAAGGAGAGACAGAACAUGCUACGCUCCCUGGAAAAGGACGUUCUGGAGGGGGGGAACCUGCGUGCUCCACUGCAGGAGCUCCACCAGAUGAUUCUCACACCCAUCAAAUCCUUCAGCUCCGACGAGCCUUCCCAGCAUCCUCUGCUUGGGCCUGAGGGCAAGACCGGACUCCCAGCCUCCCACCUGGCUGCAGGAGAGGCCGAGUCCAGCACCACCAUCAUCUCUGAAGGGGACAUUCCUGGCCAGUUCACCCGGGUCAUGGGCAAAGUGUGCACACAGCUCCUGGUAUCCCGGUCGGAUGAGGAGAAUAUUAGUUCUUACCUGCAGCUCAUUGAUAAGUGCCUGAUUCAUGAGGCUUUCACAGAGACACAGAAGAAGCGCCUGUUGUCAUGGAAACAGCAGGUGCAGAAGCUGUUCCGCUCGUUUCCACGGAAAACUCUCCUGGACAUGGCAGGGUACCGCCAGCAGAGGAGGUGUGUACAGGCCAUCUGUCGCCAUACCGUGGUUUCGGCCAGUCCAGCUCGCUGCCGACGGCCGGCUGUGUGGGCAGCGGUGUGUCGGCGCGGCGGAACCUGCGGCAGUUCGGAAUGCCGUCCCGGAGUCUUCCUGGGGCGCGGCUCGGCCUGCUGGGCACCGCCGGACUCCUCGGACCCACCCCACGCAGCUCCAGCAGUACACCCACCGCACUCAAACAGGGACGCCAGGGUCUGUGGUUUGCCAACCCGGGCGGCAGUAACAGCAUGCCGAGUCGCAGUCACAGCUCGGUCCAGCGGACGCGCUCUCUGCCCGUACACACCAACCCCAACACCAUGGUCAUGUUCCAGCAGGCAGAUUCGCAGGUGCCCGUGACUGAGCCAGACAUCAACAACCGCUUGGAAUCUCUGUGUCUGAGUAUGACUGAACACGCUCUCGGAGAUGGCGUAGACCGGACUUCCACCAUCUGAGGGCAGCGAUGUGGAGACCCAGGAAGGCAGAGCUUCCCUGCCGGAGGCCGCGGGAAAGGUCACCCUGAAGUCACCAAGCCCAACCCCACCCAACCUGCACCACCGGCCAACCCCCAGCCACCCCCACCUGCACAUGCACAUGCACAACCCGCUAGCCAAUGGGAGAGGCAGAAGCCGGGAAGGGGUGGAUCCAAUUAGUGCCAUUUUCAGUUGACAGAGGGAGAAUGAAAGAGGGAGAAUUCACUAAGGCCGGUUCCACUGCCAUUAUGUCCACACUUGAAGCAUAUUCACACAUCAAGGCCUUUUUUAAAAAAAAAAAAAGAAAGAAAAGUAAAAAAGUCACUACACACGUGUCAAAGGAAAGAGUGUGACACCUAGACACCUAGACAUACAACACCUUCAAAGAGCUUCACGCUUUGGGCGAGUGUGUAACCUAGACACCUAGACAUACAACACCUUCAAAGAGCUUCACGCUUUGGGCGAGUGUGUAACCUAGACACCUAGACAUACAACACCUUCAAAGAGCUUCACGCUUUGGGCCACCGAUGUUUGACGUCCGAUGGUCAGUGUGAGGGAGGUCUGGACACGCUGGACAAGAUGGUGCGAGCGUCACAGGGGGGUAUGAGGGCAGGCCAUAGUGCCCCCCUAUGCACCACCACCACCACCUCCCCCACAACCCCACCACCUCCAUCACACAAACACACCUCUGCCCCCCCCUCCCCUCCACACACACACACACACACACACACACACCCUCUCUGUAACACACGCCUGUACACACCCUUCCUUGUAAAAACAGAGUGCACCCAGCCAACAUCAAAGCAGCCAUGCUAGCGUAGCAUAGCGCUAGUUCCAGUUCACUAAAGCAGCCAUGCUAGCGUAGCGCUAGUUCCAGUUCACUAAAGCAGCCAUGCUAGCGUAGCGUAGCGCUAGUUCCAGUUCACUAAAGCAGCCAUGCUAGCGUAGCGUAGCGCUAGUUCCAGUUCACUAAAGCAGCCAUGCUAGCGUAGCGUAGCGCUAGUUCCAGUUCACUACAGCAGAGGAGUACGCACCCCUGGGCAACGCAAAUAGUCUCUGCUGUUUUUAGAGUGUUUCCAGCAAACACACAGGGCUCUGGGAGAAAUAUUUGCUCUGUAAAGGUGCGCAAAUACAACAUUUUGCAAAUAUAUAUAUAUAUAUAUAUAUAUAUAUAUAUAUAUAUAUAUAUAUAUAUAUAUAAUGUUUACAUAGGAUGCUACUUUGAAGGGUACAGGAAGAGUUUGACAAAUUUCAGGUAUGAAUGUUUUCCAUGAUUUUUUUUUUUUUUUUUUUACGCCACUACAAAUGUAUUCAAUUCUUCUCUCAAUCAGCCGUUGUCGUAGUUUACAAUUCAGUGGGAGUCUUUUCUUAUUUUAUUUGUUUCACUGGUUGAUUUAUUUUAAGGAAGUCCUGCGGGAUUGAUGACGAUGUGAAGUGAAGGCCAGAGUAGAGUGAUAGAAAGUGAAGUAAGAAGGGAUGGAAUGCGGACGUUGACGUUUGGGAUUUUUAAUGUUUGCUAAAAAUCGGUGAGGUUAUAAGUGACGUGGGGCUAUCAGUAUGUUGUCUCGGUGUGAGGGUAAGUGAGGGGUCAGUUGGUCAGGAGAGAUUUCUGGGGAAAGUGUGAGGUGGCACUCAGUGAAAGUAAAUGGAAUCAGGUAAUUGGUGUUGUGUUCUUGAGCUACUUGUCCUUCCACCAUUUUGUUUUUAACAGUUUGCAUAUGGGUUCCGUCAAACUGGAUCGAGCUCUUUGGAUAUUCUGCAGUGAACAGGUGGUCGCGCAGCCCUUCCCUAGCGGAGCUAGUGGUCAUCGUUUGAGCUGCCUCCCUCCGCGUUAGAGUUGUAAUAUCCACACAGGGCUUUCAGAUGUGUGUGUGAGUGUGUUUGGGUGUGUUACAGGUUCAAGUGACAUAAUGUCAGUGUACUUGGGGCAUAUGGAGCUCUGUAUAUUUUUGCUUUAAUUGACCUGAGGUCAGAAAUAGUGUUUUUUAUCUUUUAAAAACAAACAGUGAAUUGCACACAUGAACUGACAGAAAGACAGAGCGAGGUUUAUGCUGAUUUUCACAGGGUGUCAGACCGAGAGGACUCUACUCGCCCAUCCUGCGUCCAAGCUCUAUUCCGCAGAGCUGUCGUUCACUGUGGGAAAGAUUUUCUUUAGUGAUUAUCUCCAUCUGGUGGCCAAAAGUGGUAGUACAGUACUUCUGCACACUAUGAUAGGUAGUUGUUCUUUUUAUUUUUUUAUUUUUAGACAAAACGAAGCUAGUCGUGUGGCUAGUCGUGUCCUGUAUACUGGUUUCCAGUUGCGUCUUAAUUUAAGUCGUUAGUUAUUUGUGUUUGUGCUAUUUGAUGGAUUUUAAUCAGUGUCGAUGCGAUGAUAAUGAAUAAGCUCUGCAUCAGCAGGUUAUCUGCCACUGUGGUUUUUCACACUUGAAGAUCCUUUGUAUCUUCUGUUCAAAAAGGGGCUCAGAUUUGUUUAAAUCUAAAAGUUUUUUUGGUUUUAUUUCAAAUUUGUUUGAAUAUGUCAAGGGCCGUUUCAAGCCCUUUUUAAAUGAGGGUUGAAAUUUUUUUUUUCUUGUUAAUUUGUUUUAGCGCUUUAAAAGUUAUUGUUUUUUUUUGUGUGUGUUUUGUUUUGUUUCUGUAGACAGUCUCUCGGGGACGAGGUGGGGUGGAGGGGGACUGGUGUAAACUAGACUCACAUAGAGGAUAGUUCCGGAACAAAUCUAGCCCUGAUGCUGGCCAGAACCAGCCACCAGAGGAGACAGACACACACACACACACACACACACACACACACACAAAGAGCAAGGCUCUCUUCCAGAACCAUGCUAUCUGUCAUGCAAUGCAGAGCGAUCCUCAGAGUGUGACGGCUCUAAGAUGGUCGAGGUCAGUGUCCGCCCCCUCUCCCCUGGUGGUGAUGACCCCGCUGGUGCCCCCUGGCGUAGAGACUCCCUCUAGUGCGCAACAUGCGUAAUGGCGGCGCGCAGCAGUGCAGCGGCUUCUCCAGCUCCCGGUGUAACCGGAAAAAAACAAAUACUGUCUAUCUCUAGUGACCCCUCUGCUUGGUGACCCCUCUGCUUGGUGGCCCCUCUGCUUGGUGACCCCUCUGCUUGGUGGCCCCUCUGCUUGGUGACCCCUCUGCUUGGUGGCCCCUCUGCUUGGUGCCUGCUCAAAGACGCCCCCCUGAAUCCAUCCAUGCUUUGGGUGAAAUUGCCCAAAUGGAUUCCUUCUUACAGUGCCCUGGCCUCUUGUCAGCGCUGACAGAGGGAGACGGGACGAGUUAACGAGCAGAAAAGAUGAGUGCAGAACGCCUUGCCUCCUCUAUGCCCAGUAAGAUGAGUGCAGAACGCCUCCUCUCCUCUCCUCUCCUCUCCUCUCCUCUACACAGAGUAUUAAAAGGGAGGCAGGGAGAGAGAGCGAUUGUGUGUUAUGCACAGUGACAGGUCUAUCCAUGUUUGGGUGAAAUUGCCCAAAUGGAUUCCUUGUGUUUUGAGCCGGUGUGAGGGCUUGUGUGUGUGUGUGUGUGUGUGUGCAUGUGUGUGUGUGCGUGUGUUUAGUGAAUCGUUGUGGCGCCACGUCCGAGUGGUCUGUCACAGCUAGGUGAUUUGCCUUUAGCUCAAAGAGGAGAGAGAGAGUGUGUGUGUGUGUGUGUGUCUCCAAGGAGACAAUGGGUCACUCCUGUCCGAGUGAGUCUUCUGCCGCCUUCCUGUGCAUGCCCAGCCUUAAGCAGGAGUGUGACUUUAAGCGUUGCGUUAAAAGCAGGAGUGUGACUUUAAGCAUUGCGUUAAAAGCAGGAGUGUGACUUUAAGCAUUGCAUUAAAAGCAGGAGUGUGACUUUAAGCGUUGCGUUAAAAGCAGGAGUGUGACUUUAAGCAUUGCAUUAAAAGCAGGAUUGUUACUUUAAGCAUUGCGUUAAAAGCAGGAGUGUGACUUUAAGCAUUGCAUUAAAAGCAGGAUUGUUACUUUAAGCAUUGCGUUAAAAGCAGGAGUGUGACUUUAAGCAUUGCGUUAAAAGCAGGAGUGUGACUUUAAGCAUUGCGUUAAAAGCAUGUCAGCUAAUGUUUUGGCAUAGCUAUGGAACCAUUGCCUGGCUUCAUGUGUCAUUAUAACAGGUGCCUCUUUGUCUGAGAUUUUAUAAACUUUUAUAAACUUACACAGACGUUGAAGCCCCAUCUCACUGCCAUUUGAAUAGAUAUUAUUAGCUCAUUCAAAUAAUUAUUUAUUCUUGUUUUUUUUCUAUUAAUGUUUCAGAGAUGACUAUUGUAUUCGUUAGGUGUAUUAUUUAAGAUACCAUAUAUAUUAACUUGCUAUGGCUGGUAACCAUAUGUACAUCUCAAAUAUCAACAUAGUUAUUUUUGUUUUAUUUUGAACUAUAAUCUCCAUGUGUAUUUGAUAGUUUUGAAAGAUAGACAUAUCAGUCGUUUCUCUCAGACUUCUUUCCUUUGCUGAUGAUGAGACACUUCAGUAGUAGUCCUCAGUGCCUAUGGUAAGUGUGGAGGGAGUAGUUUGUUUGGCUUGUUGUGAUGGGAGAGCUCCUGGUCAGCUCCUGGUCAGUGUAGUCAGGUGACCGAGUGCCUGAGGUACUCACACAGAGCUACAGGUCACCGAAAGCUGUUGUUGUUAUUGUUGUUUUCAUUGUUUUAUUUUUUUUUUCCAAAUGUCAAAAACACUUUCUACAUGGAACCAUGUCACCUCAGCGAAACUGAAUAAAAAACUACCAGACAAAGCAAACGCAUGGCGAUGAGCAACAGACACAAAGUAUCACGUAGACCGCGUGUCUCUGGCGAACGCUUGGACACGAUGAGGGACACGCAGAGACAGAGACCGCUCUGUGUGCUCUGCACUGCGCUAUUCUCCCAGACGCAAAAAAAUCCCAGACAGGAGAAACAGGCCCUGGCCCGGCCACACCAUGCCAAUCCACAUGUCUGCCACCAGGGGGCGCCAGAUGGACCCAUGGGAUGAGAUUUGGGCCCCCCCCCCCGUGUCCAGGGACUCUCAUGGUGUGUGCCAUCUAUACUCGUCUUGGCCAAAGUCCUUUUUGGGAACGUGCUAGAGGCACAUCAGAGUCAGAGACGCUCUGGAGGCGCUGGCUGUUGGAGAGAUGAGGUGUUGGUAUGAGAGCUCGGAUGGGGUUUUGGUAUGAGAGCUCAGAUGAGGUGUUGGUAUGAGAGCUCGGAUGGGGUUUUGGUAUGAGAGCUCAGAUGAGAUGUUGGUAUGAGAGCUCAGCCUCCAGUGGACGCGAAGCUGGCACGUCUCCUUUAAGUGCAAACAGCUGAUAACAUAGGUCACCUGUGCAGAGUGGACGCUGCAAACCCACAGUAUUACUGUUUAGAUGCUACCUUGAUAUUCCAAAAAAAAUGAUAUAUACUAUUUAAUUUAGUGUAAAUGAAGCCUUUUUUUUUACAGUUUCUUUAGUUUGUUUUGUUUUUUCAAGAAUCUGCAUGUUAGUCCUAUUGCAUUGUCUAUGUGAUGAGAUGUGUUUUCUUUUGUUUUAUAAACUCAUGCAUCCAUACUGUAAUGGCCCUGCCGCUUUACUGUGCCGCUCCUUGGAUUUUUCUAUUUUUUGUUUUGUUUUUUGUUAUUCUCAAGAGCCGAUGUCCUGUAUUGACUGCAGGCUUACAUAUAUAUAAAUAUAUAUUUUAAAAAGAAUAUCUUACGUUUAAAAAAAAAACACCAAAAAUUUACUAAAAAGAAUGGGAAAAAGACAAAAAAUAUGUAAUUUAUAUUUUAGAAAUGCAUGCAAGAGGCUGGGAAGUCAUACUUAGGAUAACAAAUGGCAGUGCCUUUUUUGUACUCUGACAUUUACCCAAAAUGUAAAUGGUUUUAUAUGGACUUUAAAGUGUAAUAAUAUUUCAGAGGAAAGCAACUACAGAUGUGUUUGGCGGCUGGCUGGCGAAUGGUGACAUCAUUACAAACCACAAACAUUAUUGGUUCAGAGACAGCAUACUCUCCUGUUGGGGUUGCAGACAGACGAGAAACAAUUGCUUUAUUUGUUUUCGUGCGGGUCCCAGCGAUGUCAGCUUCUUGGGCUCCAGUACUCUGUAGGUACUUUCAAUGCUGAUAUGAAGUAAAGAGAUACACCUGACUGUACAACAAACAAACAGAUGUAUAUAUAAAUAUAUAUUAUAUAUAUUUGUCUAUGUGUGUGUGACUAUGUGUUGGUGUGUGUGUGUGUGAGAGUAUGGAUUGUGUCUUCUGUAAUUGUAUACAUAUGUCCUAUGUCCUCAGAAAACAAAAAUACCAGUAAUGCUGCGCCCCACUAUUUUCCUUUUUUUUCCCUUUCCUCUAAGGAUGACUUAAACACACGUACAGUAGGGUGUCAUGAGUCCUGGGGGCAGGGAGUCCAAGUCUGUACUUCGCUUAUGACUCUGGGAUCCCGUACAGUGCAGUAGUUCACAGAUCUGGACUGAUCCGUUUCUACUGACUCUCCAUUGAAGGCUCUCCCUGCUAGAGCUCUCGUGGAGUGGGAACCCCUCGACACACCUACACCGUGUCAUGUCCAGUCCCACGGGCAGACGGGAUGAUUCAGUGACGACCGAUUCAGCUGCUGAAGUCCAUUAGAAUCCGUGGAAUUCAGCAACUAAACGUCUGAUUGUAUUAUCACAUUAACCUGUCCAGAGAUCCCAAACGCGUACACUACAUACAUAUAUAUACCCAUGGUUCAUAUACGCCGCGUAUCUUCAGUGGAGACUCCAUUCAUGCGUUGUGUGCAUUAGAAUGUGUGUGUGUGUGUGUGUGUGUGUUAUGUUGUGAGACAGAACGUUGUGUACUGUAUGUACAACUGAUGGGAGAGACGUGGUGUGUAAUCUGUCGGGGAGCUGUCAUGAUUUUGAAUGUCCUUUUUUGUUUGUCGUUUGUUUGUUGUUGUUGUUCUAUGGGGUCUGUGUUACAUGCUUGAUGUCUUUGUAAUAACCACAGACAAAAAAGUAUUAAAGAGUAACUUUGGAAAAAGA